GAUGAACGCUGGCGGCGUGCCUAACACAUGCAAGUCGAACGAACAGAUGAUGAGCUUGCUCCUCGGACGUUAGCGGCGCGCGUGUGAAUAACGCGUGUAUCACCUACCUAUCAGACUGGUAUAACUUCGGGAAUCCGGAGCUAAUAGCGGAUAAUCUCUUGAACCGCAUGGUUCAAUGGUAAAAGUCGGUGUUGCUGUCACUUAUAGAUGGUUCCGCGCCGUAUUAGAUAGUUGGUAAGGUAACGGCUUACCAAGGCAACGAUGCGUAGACGAACUGAGAGGGGGGUCGGCCACACUGGAAGUGAGCCACGGUCCAGACGCCUGCGGGAGGCAGCAGUAGGGAAUGGUCCGCAGUGGUGGAAAGCCUGACAGAACAACGGCGAGUGUGUGAUAGAGGCGUUCGGAUCGGAAUACUCUGUUAUGAGGGAAGAACCGAUGUGGAAGUAGCUGAGCACGUAUUGACGGUAACUGGUCAGAAAGCACCGGCUAACUACGUG
rnacentral:rRNA from 1 species